CAAGUGGAUGAGGCCUGUCAGAAGCCAGCAAGAAACAUCUGAUUAGAACAAGUAGAAAAAAGAAACAACAAAAGCAAAGUAAACACCGGGGCAGAGAGAACCAAGCUAAGCUUUCUAUCUGGUAAAAAAGAUAUGCUUGCCAUUUGCUCAUGGAAAAUGCAAC
rnacentral:lncRNA from 1 species